CCUACGGGGGGCUGCAGUGAGGAAUAUUGGUCAAUGGGCGCGAGCCUGAACCAGCCAAGUAGCGUGAAGGAUGACUGCACUACGGGUUGUAAACUUCUUUUAUAAAGGAAUAAAGUGAGGCACGGGUGCCUUUUUGUAUGUACUUUAUGAAUAAGGAUCGGCUAACUACGGGCCAGCAGCCGCGGUAAUACGGAGGAUCAGAGCGUUAUCCGUAUUGAUUGGGUUUAAAGGGAGCGUAGAUGGGUUGUUAAGUCAGUUGUGAAAGUGUGCGGCUCAACCGUAAAAUUGCAAUUGAUACUGGCCGUCUUGAGUACAGUUGAGGUAGGCGGAAUUCGUGGUGUAGCGGUGAAAUGCUUAGAUAUAACGAAGAACACCGAUUGCGAAGGCAGCUUACUAACCUGCCACUGACAUUGAUGCUCGAAAGUGUGGGUAUCAAACAGGAUUAGAUACCCCAGUAGUC
rnacentral:rRNA from 1 species